UAAAUAGUUUCGUACCACAGUAUGUGGCACUCUUCUUAGGUCAACUUAUCUGAAGAGUGCCACAUACUGUGGUACGAAACUAUUUA